GACGAACGCUGGCGGCGUGCUUAACACAUGCAAGUCGAACGGAAAGGCCCUGCUUUUGUGGGGUGCUCGAGUGGCGAACGGGUGAGUAACACGUGAGUAACCUGCCCUUGACUUUGGGAUAACUUCAGGAAACUGGGGCUAAUACCGGAUAGGAGCUCCUGCUGCAUGGUGGGGGUUGGAAAGUUUCGGCGGUUGGGGAUGGACUCGCGGCUUAUCAGCUUGUUGGUGGGGUAGUGGCUUACCAAGGCUUUGACGGGUAGCCGGCCUGAGAGGGUGACCGGCCACAUUGGGACUGAGAUACGGCCCAGACUCCUACGGGAGGCAGCAGUGGGGGAUAUUGCACAAUGGGCGGAAGCCUGAUGCAGCAACGCCGCGUGCGGGAUGACGGCCUUCGGGUUGUAAACCGCUUUCGCCUGUGACGAAGCGUGAGUGACGGUAAUGGGUAAAGAAGCACCGGCUAACUACGUGCCAGCAGCCGCGGUGAUACGUAGGGUGCGAGCGUUGUCCGGAUUUAUUGGGCGUAAAGGGCUCGUAGGUGGUUGAUCGCGUCGGAAGUGUAAUCUUGGGGCUUAACCCUGAGCGUGCCUUCGAUACGGGUUGACUUGAGGAAGGUAGGGGAGAAUGGAAUUCCUGGUGGAGCGGUGGAAUGCGCAGAUAUCAGGAGGAACACCAGUGGCGAAGGCGGUUCUCUGGGCCUUUCCUGACGCUGAGGAGCGAAAGCGUGGGGAGCGAACAGGCUUAGAUACCCUGGUAGUCCACGCUGUAAACGGUGGGUACUAGGUGUGGGGUCCAUUCCACGGGUUCCGUGCCGUAGCUAACGCUUUAAGUACCCCGCCUGGGGAGUACGGCCGCAAGGCUAAAACUCAAAGGAAUUGACGGGGCCCCGCACAAGCGGCGGAGCAUGCGGAUUAAUUCGAUGCAACGCGUAGAACCUUACCUGGGUUUGACAUGGAUCGGGAGUGCUCAGAGAUGGGUGUGCCUCUUUUGGGGUCGGUUCACAGGUGGUGCAUGGCUGUCGUCAGCUCGUGUCGUGAGAUGUUGGGUUAAGUCCCGCAACGAGCGCAACCCUUGUUCACUGUUGCCAGCACGUUAUGGUGGGGACUCAGUGGAGGCCGCCGGGGUCAACUCGGAGGAAGGUGGGGAUGACGUCAAGUCAUCAUGCCCCUUAUGUCCAGGGCUUCACGCAUGCUACAAUGGCUGGUACAGAGAGUGGCGAGCCUGUGAGGGUGAGCGAAUCUCGGAAAGCCGGUCUCAGUUCGGAUUGGGGUCUGCAACUCGACCUCAUGAAGUCGGAGUCGCUAGUAAUCGCAGAUCAGCAACGCUGCGGUGAAUACGUUCCCGGG
rnacentral:rRNA from 1 species